AAGUAAUUAAGGGCGUAUGGCGGAUGCCUAGGCUCACGGAGGCGAUGAAGGACGUGAUAAGCUGCGAUAAGCCUCGGGUAGAUGCAAAUAAUCUUUGAUCCGAGGAUUUCCGAAUGGGACAACCUGACUGUCUGAAGGAUAGUCACCCAUAUAUUUUUUAUGGGAGCAAACGCAGGGAACUGAAACAUCUUAGUACCUGUAGGAAGAGAAAAUAAUUUAAUGAUUCCCCUAGUAGUGGCGAGCGAACGGGGAAAAGCCCAAACCUAUGACGUAGUAAUGCGUGAUAGGGGUAGUAGGGUCACGAUA
rnacentral:rRNA from 1 species